CCUGCGCCAGCUGGCCCGAUGCACAUCGUGGCUCACCUCGACGUCCUGAAGCUGCCGCUGAAGGUCAGAGACCUUCUUCGACCACUCCUGGUCGCCGUCGGCCUGAGCCAAGAGCCGGGACGAACUUCCUCCCAGCUGGCCGAUCUUCCCCAUCGCAGCCGACAGUUCCACCUUGAGGGCGCUAAUCUUGGCGGCCUGAGCCCAAAUUCGAUCGCUGGCGCUCUUCUUGCAUUCCGCGAGCUCCUUCACGAAAUCCACCUUCCUCCGGCUAUACUCCAUGAUCCCCUUCACGUGGAGAUUCC
rnacentral:lncRNA from 1 species